rnacentral:miRNA from 2 species
CAGGCAGCUGAAGCAAGCCUG